GUAAACGCUGAAUCUUAUGGAAGCCAUCUCCUGGAAGCAUUGUGUGCAACUCCGGCUCUGACACGUAGCUGGCAGGACAGACAAGCCUGGAAUUGGAGGGGAGCUACCUCUUUUUUCUGAUAGUGAAUAAUUCAGCCCAAUAUCAAUAAUGGCUCAUACAGUGUUCUCAUAGAAGAUAAUUGAGAUGCAAAGUACUUACAGCAUUGGUAAGUCACACGAUUGAUUACUUGUGAAAGAACUGGAAGAAAUAUUGAAUUUAUUGAUGUGAA
rnacentral:lncRNA from 1 species